UGGCUCAGUGGUAGAGCGCUUGCCUUGCAUGCAUGAAGCCCUGGGUUCAAUUCCUCAG
rfam:Dipodomys ordii contig_9749, whole genome shotgun sequence.